UACGAAGGUCCCAAGCGUUAUCCGGAUUUAUUGGGUUUAAAGGGUGCGUAGGCGGGGUAUUAAGUCAGUGGUGAAAGCCUACAGCUUAACUGGAAAAUGGCCUCCGAUACUGGGCGGCUGGAGGAGGGUAGGGGCGCGCGGAACUUCCGGUGGAGCGGUGAAAUGCGUAGAUAUCGGAAGGAACGCCGGUGGCGAAAGCGGCGCGCUGGACCCUUUCUGACGCUGAUGCGCGAAAGCCAGGGGAGCAAACGGG
rnacentral:rRNA from 1 species